CCUUGGUCCAGGGAGAGUGGAGGCUCCCACCUCUGCAGCCAGGCCCGCCUGUCCAUAUGGAUGUGGCUGAAGGUAACAACAGGCUAAGCAGGCUGCUCAGGGAGGCCAGAACCCUCGUCUGCCAUGCGUUUAUUGACAGGCCUCCGGGAGAUGGUUACCUCACCGAAAUGGAGCUGAAACAUUUUAUAGGGGACUGGAAACACAUCCCACCCAGACACAUAGCCGCAGAGACAUUCUUGCUAGUUCACUGUCCCAUCGGAGUGAAUGGGAUGUUGCCAAUGCUGCUCCCAGGGCUCCGGGGGCGUUUCCAGCCAGGACUGAGUUCCCAGUGCCUCAAGUGACCCAGAAGAGGACGCAGCCCCAAGGGAGGGACUGGGGCCAGCAGGGAAUGAGCAAGCACAGAGCUGGCAGGACGCGGGGCUUUGCGAAUUGCCAGUAGGCGAGGCACAGCCUGCCAAAUGUGAUGACAUUUUUAUGGCGCAUGGAGCAGUGAAUGAGGCCGGGGUGCAUUUAACUGGAGAUGAAAUCCUUCAGGUUGGGAGCAAGGAGAGAAGAUGCUGGCUUUCUGUACAUCCUGAGCGGCACCUCUGGAAACAACUGUGGCAGUCCAGCCCCUGGCAGAGCACCGAGCCCAGCGCGGGCAUUCAGGGAAUACUUGGAAAGUGAAGGCACAGUGCUGCCUGCAGUUUUAGAAGACCUUGGCACCAAUAACGGGAUCACCACAUCAGAAAUCUUUAAAAGGGACAAUGACUGUGCUGCUAGCAAUUCUGCCUGGCUCUCUAGAAGGUCCAACUUCAGCCACCAUCAUCCAGAAUAAAAUCAAAUGCGCCAAUGCAAGCAAACAACCACCCCCCCCACAGUCGGAUGCGUUCCAGAUGACGGGAAGAGACGCACUCCCCUCUCCUCUCCUCACCUUUGCUACCCAGUAGCCUGACAUAAACGUCCCCUUUAGUUCUGGUUCUCUUCAAUGGAUACUUAAUGUGAAAGUGCUCUUCCUUCUAAAUCAGCUUCUUUCUCCAUCCUUGUCUCCAUUAUACAGACCAGAAAUGGCCUCCGAUAGUGGUUAAUGGUAUUUCCCACUCUGGCCAGGGAUAAAACAUUGGGAUGGGCCGGUGGGUGGGAAGAACACAAUUUUCUCGACCAUCUUCCCUGCAACAAACUUCAAAGACCUUAUAAAAGAUGGGUGCAGGUAAGCAAGAAGAAUGAAGGUGGUCACGAACAAAUGAAAACUGGUUAGUUGUCCAUAAAAUUAAGAAACUGUCCUGUGACCUAGAUAGAGAGUAACUCAAGUAUGUAUGGAUAGAACACAACAUAAGUAUGAUCCUGAAUGACUGAGAAAAUGUUUAAUAAUAAAUAUUCCUCAUAAUCAUGUGUUUGAGUCCCAAAAUGCAUCAGAAAAUAAGGGACAAUUACUUAUUCACACUUUAUAGACAGUAAGUAAAGCUGAAAUGAUUUAGUAAGAAUCAUAAGAAUUUCCCACACUUACGGUAAACUUUAAAUAAAAAUGCAUUUUUACAACUAUCAUCUCAUUUGACUCUUACUAAACUCUAUGAGGUGAGUACUCUCCUCAUUUUAUCAAAACAGGAGGGCUCAAUCGGGGAAGGGAAUUUGCUUAAGAUGACGUACAUGUAGAGACACAGCACCGACUAUUUCACAGUUUGGGAUUUCCCUCAGUGAGGACCAUCAGUGGGAUAAUUUCAAGUAUUACUCUACUCCAUGCCACUCUCAGGAAGUACUCUGAAU
ensembl:lncRNA